rnacentral:rRNA from 1 species
UACGAAGGGGGCUAGCGUUGCUCGGAAUCACUGGGCAUAAAGCGCACGUAGGCGGCUUUCUAAGUCAGGGGUGAAAUCCUGGAGCUCAACUCCAGAACUGCCUUUGAUACUGGGGAGCUCGAGUCCGGAAGAGGUGAGUGGAACUCCGAGUGUAGAGGUGAAAUUCGUAGAUAUUCGGAAGAACACCAGUGGCGAAGGCGGCGUCCUGGACCGGUAUUGACGCUGAGGCGCGAAAGCCAGGGGAGCAAACGGG